rnacentral:rRNA from 1 species
UACGAAGGGGGCUAGCGUUGCUCGGAAUCACUGGGCGUAAAGCGCACGUAGGCGGACUCUUAAGUCGGGGGUGAAAUCCUGGAGCUCAACUCCAGAACUGCCUUCGAUACUGGGAGUCUUGAGUUCGGGAGAGGUGAGUGGAACUGCGAGUGUAGAGGUGAAAUUCGUAGAUAUUCGCAAGAACACCAGUGGCGAAGGCGGCUCACUGGCCCGAUACUGACGCUGAGGUGCGAAAGCGUGGGAGCAACAGGAUAGAACCCUGGUA